rnacentral:rRNA from 1 species
GGAGGAAAGCAGGGGAUCGUAAGACCUUGCGCUAAAGGAGCGGCCGAUGUCUGAUUAGUCAGUUGGUGGGGUAAAGGCCUACCAAGACAACGAUCAGUAGCUGGUCUGAGAGGACGAUCAGCCACACUGGGACUGAGACACGGCCCAGGCUCCUACGGGAGGCAGCAGUGGGGAAUUUUGGACAAUGGGCGAAAGCCUGAUCCAGCCAUGCCGCGUGAAUGAAGAAGGCCUUCGGGUUGUAAAGUUCUUUUAGUUGGAAAGAAAAGAUUAUGAUGAAUAAUCAUAAUUCAUGACGGUACCGACAGAAAAAGCACCGGCUAACUACGUGCCAGCAGCCGCGGUAAUACGUAGGGUGCAAGCGUUAAUCGGAAUUACUGGGCGUAAAGGGUGUGCAGGCGGCCUUGUAAGUCAGAUGUGAAAGCCCCGGGCUUAACCUGGGAAUUGCGUUUGAAACUACAAAGCUAG